CGUUGAGAAGUUCGUUGUGCAAUUCAAUGCAUCUUGAAAAUUAAAUCUUAUUGAUAAAUAAAAUAAAUGGUGUUGUAUCGUCAGUAAUAAAAUUAUUUUGAGAUAUUGUUAUUUUAGUAGAGUUAAUCGAAAAAAAAAAGAAAGAGUUAUAGAGUAUAAGUACUGUAAAGGAAAGAUGAAAUAGAUUGAAAAAUAAAUUGAUGGAUAGUAGAGGUUAAUACUCGUACCUUGUGUAUUAGGGAAAAUCAAAAUAAUCUGAUUAUAAAAGAAUUCCCGAAAAAAAAAGAGCUAAUAUAAAUAUAUAGUUUUCGUAUUAAUGAAAUUAUAAAAUUUAUAUUAGUAGUGAAACGCUAGUCGAUUUUUUAUAUCUGGUUGUUAACGAAUUAAAUUGAACUUAGUUGUUUUAAGGUGAAUGAAACUUUAAUGCAAUAAAGAAUAGGAGGGAAAAGCUUCUUAUUCUAGCAUAGGUAAAUUAUGAUAAUAAAUGUAAAAUAUUACUGAAUUAGGCUUAAAAACAGCCAUA
rnacentral:rRNA from 1 species